rnacentral:rRNA from 1 species
UAAUUUAAGGUCUAACCUGCCCACUGAAUUUUUAAAUGGCCGUGGUAUUUUGACCGUGCUAAGGUAGCAUAAUCAUUAGUUUUUUAAUUAAGAACUGGAAUGAAAGGUUGAAUAAGAAAAUAACUGUCUCUAUUAAAUUUAAUUAGAAUUUUAUUUUUAAGUUAAAAAGCUUAAUUAAUAUUAAAAGACGAGAAGACCCUAUAGAGUUUUAUUAUUUAAUAAAAAUUAUAUUUUAGUAUUUAUAUAUUUAAUUUAUUAAAUAAUUUAAUUGGGGUGAUUGAAAAAUUUAUUAAACUUUUUUUAUUUUUUAACAUUUAUUUAUGAUUAAAUGAUCCAUUAUUUUUGAUUAUAAGAUAAAAUUACCUUAGGGAUAACAGCGUAAUUUUUUUAGAGAGUUCAUAUUAAAAGAAAAGAUUGCGACCUCGAUGUUGGAUUAAAAUAAAUUUUUGGUGUAGAAGCUAAAAUAUUAGGUCUGUUCGACCUUUAAAAUUUUA